rnacentral:rRNA from 1 species
UGGGGAAUUUUGGACAAUGGGGGCAACCCUGAUCCAGCAAUGCCGCGUGUGUGAAGAAGUCCUUCGGGUUGUAAAGCACUUUUGUCCGGAAAGAAAACUUCGGGGCUAAUACCCCUGGAGGAUGACGGUACCGGAAGAAUAAGCACCGGCUAACUACGUGCCAGCAGCCGCGGUAAUACGUAGGGUGCGAGCGUUAUUCGUAAUUACUGGGCGUAAAGCGUGCGCAGGCGGUGCUGUAAGACCGAUGUGAAAUCCCCGGGCUUAACCUGGGAACUACAUUGGUGACUGCAGCGCUGGAGUAUGGCAGAGGGGGGUGGAAUUCCACGUGUAGCAGUGAAAUGCGUAGAGAUGUGGAGGAACAACGAUGGAGAAGGCAGCCCCCUGGGCCAAUACUGACGCUCAUGCACGAAAGCGUGGGGAGCAAACAGG